rnacentral:rRNA from 1 species
UCCGUAGGUGGAUAAUUAAGUCAGAGGUGAAAUCCCACAGCUCAACUGUGGAACUGCCUUUGAUACUGGUUGUCUUGAGUUACAGUGAAGUAGAUAGAAUAUGUAGUGUAGCGGUGAAAUGCAUAGAUAUUACAUAGAAUACCGAUUGCGAAGGCAGUCUACUAACUGUAUACUGACGCUAAUGGACGAAAGCGUGGGGAGCGAACAGGAUUAGAUACCCUGGUAGUCC